rnacentral:lncRNA from 1 species
AGCCCCAAAUGUCCGUGGAACCGGCCCCACUAACCUGCAUCCAGCUGCCUCUUCCACCUGGGCCCUGCUCUCAGAUGGAAGUGUCACCAAACACCCAGAUCGCCGUGCUCCUGCUUCUCUGGAGUGGACACAACCUGAAAACCAACUGGACUGAGCAUCCUUCUCCUAAAAUCUCAGCCAGAAGCCACGAUGGAGGGUCCUGGGAAGGGAAGAGAUGUGAAGAUUUCUGUGAUUCUAAAACCUUGGGUCUGCCUGCAAACUUCUCUCUGAUCCCAGCCGAGAGCUGUGCACACGCUAGCUAGCCCUGUCACACAAUAGCCCAGUGUUCCCGUCACAGUGCCUGGGAAUGAGAGGCUUUUGAGGCCACAGAGCUAUGACAAGUCCCCAGGUUGAAUUGACUCUGGGAGGACAAAUUUCUGAGAGACUCACGGGACCCUUAUCCAGGACAACCUCACAAAGAUCCCUGAAACUGAGCUUCCUCUGCUUCGUGCAUAGUUUGAGGUAUAAACUUUCCUUGUGUCUCGGUCAGAUGAAGUGAAGGAUGAAUAUUAUCCCAGGCUAAAGUAACGAAAAGUCCAGAAGCCAGCGAUGACAGAGAUGUGUGUGGAAGAAGGCUGUGAGCAUUUCCAUCAAACCCUGUGAGUUUCCGAAGAUCUUAUCCCGAAGAUAUGUGUUUGGCCAAUAAAACACUGAAUAAAAAUCCAUCAUGUUUCCAGA